rnacentral:rRNA from 1 species
GAUGAACGCUGGUGGCGUGCCUAAUACAUGCAAGUCGAGCGAACAGACGAGGAGCUUGCUCCUCUGACGUUAGCGGCGGACGGGUGAGUAACACGUGGAUAACCUACCUAUAAGACUGGGAUAACUUCGGGAAACCGGAGCUAAUACCGGAUAAUAUAUUGAACCGCAUGGUUCAAUAGUGAAAGACGGUUUUGCUGUCACUUAUAGAUGGAUCCGCGCCGCAUUAGCUAGUUGGUAAGGUAACGGCUUACCAAGGCAACGAUGCGUAGCCGACCUGAGAGGGUGAUCGGCCACACUGGAACUGAGACACGGUCCAGACUACUACGGGAGGCAGCAGUAGGGAAUCUUCCGCAAUGGGCGAAAGCCUGACGGAGCAACGCCGCGUGAAUGAUGAAGGUCUUCGGAUCGUAAAACUCUGUUAUUAGGGAAGAACAAAUGUGUAAGUAACUAUGCACGUCUUGACGGUACCUAAUCAGAAAGCCACGGCUAGCUACGUG